GCUCUCUGUGGCUCCGUUGGUUAGUGUGUCUGGUUGUUAACCAGAAGAAUGGUGGUUCGAGUCCAUCCAGGUACA